rnacentral:rRNA from 1 species
GGAUACCUGUAGUAAUUCUAGAGCUAAUACGUGCGUCAAAAGCCGACUUUUUGGAAGGCUUGUAUUUAUUAGAUACUAAACCAGUCCACUUCGGUGGUGUAAUGGUGAUUCAUAAUAACUUUGCGAACCGCAUGGCUCUGCCGGCGAUGGAUCAUUCAAGUUUCUGCCCUAUCAGCUCGGAUGGUAGUGUAUUGGACUACCAUGGCUAUAACGGGUCACGGGAGAUUAGGGUUUGAUUCCGGAGAGGGCGCCUGAGAGACGGCGACCACAUCCAAGGAAGGCAGCAGGCGCGUAAAUUACCCAAUCCUGAUACAGGGAGGUAGUGACAAUAAAUAACAAUGCCGGGCCUCUUCGAGGUCUGGCAAUUGGAAUGAGAACAACUUAAAUCCCUUAUCGAGGAUCAAUUGGAGGGCAAGUCUGGUGCCAGCAGCCGCGGUAAUUCCAGCUCCAAUAGCGUAUAUUUUAGUUGUUGCAGUUAAAAAGCUCGUAGUCGAAUUUCUGGUGGAAGAGUGCGGUCCGACCUUUAUGGCCGGUACUCGUACUCUUCGGCCAUCCUUGGGCGGAGCCUGUCUGGCAUUAAGUUGUCGGGCUGGGGAUGCCCAUCGUUUACUGUGAAAAAAUUAGAGUGUUCAAAGCAGACUUAUGUCGUUGAAUAUAUUAGCAUGGAAUAAUAAAAUAGGACCACAGUCGCUAUUUUGUUGGUUUGCGCACCGUGGUAAUGAUGAAUAGGGACAGUUGUGGGUAUUCGUAUUCACUUGUAAGAGUGAAAUUCUUAGAUUAANGGAAGACGAACUACUGCGAAAGCAUUUACCAAGAUGUUUUCAUUGAUCAGAGCGAAGUGUGGGGAUCGAAGAUGAUUAGAUACCGUCGUAGUCUACACCAUAACUAUGCC